GCAUAUCCGGUUCACUUCCUGGGUGUUACACCUUCCUGUUGAGAAGAUUGUAAUUCUGUCCAUCUUCGUUGUCUGAUAUGAAUGUCCAAGAAGAAGUCAAGUUACUCAUAGAGGAAAUCAAACGUCUCGGCUCGCCCGGUAAGUGAAUUAAGGUCAGACACAAGGACUUGUUCCCUCAAUUAUACAGACACGCCCGGUAAGUGAAUUGAUUUCAGACACAAGGAUUUGUCCCCUCAAUUAUCAUAUACAGAUAUACGUCAAAUUCUUGUGGGUCAGGUACAAAAUGCACUGGCUUAUCUAAAGUAGAUCAAUAAUGUUAGCCUGAUAAUUAACAGACUGGAAUAAGAAAGCAGAGACUCAAGAUUUGCUCCGGAUGUAGUUGUCAGGUCGUUAUAGAAAGGUACUUGUCCCAUUCAACAACUGGGCAUAAAUCCCACUUGUGUUUUUUCAUUAAUAAGUAUCACAUUGUCUUAUGGGUCUGUUAUGAUUUUUAAAUGGUUCGUUUGCCUGAAAAUGUUCACUAUGUUUGAUACACUACAAGAUAGAUUUUUAAUAUCUACUUUAAAUUAACACACCAUUUCAUUUCCUUGGUCAAAAUAUACUCCAUACAUGUGAUCUCGUUUUAUGUGAAGUAUGAGAACUUAAGUGAAAGAAUUCAUCUGCUGAUCAUUUCUUUUUUGAAGUGCAACUUUAUGCCUUUACAAAUACCUAACUACCUGGUCCCUGCGAUUUCACGAUAUACAUCUUAAUUUUGUUUAUGUUUAUCAAGUGUAAGUAAAUUUGUAUUGGUGACACAUUCUUAGUGUUUUCCUGGUACAACGAUUAUUCAAGGAAACUCAUGCUGUUAAGAUAAAGAUUAGGAAUAUUAUUAUUUGAGUUCAUCAUCCUUUAGAAGUACAUUGACAGUAAUCCACAUUACAUAAUAGAUCUCAGAAAUCUGUUAAACUGAAACUAUAAAGUUAUUGGUGAUUAGGAAAGUGAGUCAUAUUUAAGUGAUUUUGAACUUUACAUCAUUCUCCAUUUUAUACAGAAUGAUAGCAGACUAAAGCACCUCUUUAACAGAGUGUCUGAAUUAGAAUUCAGUCAGAUGUUUACAAUUUCACAUCCUCCCUGACGAGACUUCAGCCAAUCCUUUUCUGUUUUAGAUGCAGAAGGAACAGUGUGCGUGGAUUUUGGGACCUUGUUUGCAGACGAAAGAUGUGCCAAUAUUUUUGAGGCCUUGGUAGGAACUCUUCGUGCUGCGAAAAAGAAGAAGAUUUUGACUUAUGAAGGGGAACUUCUUUUGCAAGGAGUCCAUGACAAGGUCUCGAUCAGACUGCUGAAAGAUUCAGUAUGAUGACGGAGAUUAAUAGCUUUAAUUUUCAGGGCACACAUUGUAUAAUAUUGCCUGUGCAAAGUGAUAUUUUUAGAAUUUUUGUAUUUCUCUGAAAGUGCAAUAUAUUUUAGGUAUUGUAUUAUAAAAGCUUGUACAGUGUUCAUUAAAUGUUGACAUUUUCAAACUCUGUCACUUACAAGUAAUAAUGUCAGUAACUGGUAAAUGAAAGUCUGCAAGGUUAUGAGGGGUGCGACACAAAUUAUGCAAGUUGAUUUGAAGAAAGGUACAUUUAUGUAUGUGAUAAUUUGUGAAAUGUUUUUAGAAUUUUAUUUUUUUGCAGACAUGAAACAAUGAUUGUUAAGAAAAAAUUUAAAUGAUUUGCAGUGGAAGAAUUUUUUCCAUGCAACAUGAAUACAAGAAUAUUUGACUGCAUUUGUACAUGUAAACUGAUAAUCAUCAAAACCUGCAUCAGGGAAUUUUAUCAGCCAUCCUGUGCAAUUCUAGAGAACAAAUGAAAAUGUUAAGUUUUUAUAUUUUUGCUAAGCUGUGCUAUUGUUUUAUUUUUUUCUUAAAAUUUUGACAAUAAACUUUAAAUAAUUAA